UACGGGGGGGGCAAGCGUUGUUCGGAUUUACUGGGCGUAAAGGGCUCGUAGGUGGCCAAUUAAGUCAGGCGUGAAAUCCCCAGGCUCAACUUGGGAACUGCGUCUGAUACUGGUUGGCUUGAAUUCGGGAGAGGGAUGCAGAAUUCCAGGUGUAGCGGUGAAAUGCGUAGAUAUCAAGAGGAACACCUGCGGCGAAGGCGGGUUGCUGGGCUGACACUGACGCUGAGGCGCGAAAGCUAGGGGAGCGAACGGG
rnacentral:rRNA from 1 species